CUCUUGAAGGGGGUGGAGGUAAGUGGAUUUUAGAAGCAGGGCUCUAGAGUGCGACCUAAUUUCUCAAUGGUGCGACUUAAAAAAAUCUGAGGUCACACCGGUGCGACCAGCUGUUCGAGGGAAAAAAAAAGUCUCUGCGACUCUGAAAGUCUGUGGUUCAAUAACAGUCACACAUUGUAGUCUAAACCAAUCAGAGAUUGUGAUCUCCCCCCGAUUGGCAGUGGUCUGGAUAUUUCUGUACGUGUGUGUACGUUUGAAAAUGUGUGUGCUGCAGUCAGACAGACAGACGUGAGUAGCCUAGGCCCGUCAGAUAAACAGAGUUGAUGUAGCCGUGGAUGAUGAGAGAAGAUGAAAAGAACGAUUGACAACUUUUUCAUUAAGAAUGUUAAGUUAAGGCCUGAUCCAUCCGAAAAUCAUAACCAAUGCUCUGACACGGAGACAUCAACCUCCCAGGUUAUGUCAAGCCCUGGUCCGGAGACAGCAUUAGAUAAUGAGCCACAGACGAUCGAGUCCAAGCCAGAGCCUACUGAAAUUAAAAGGGGGAAAGUGUAUACAUUUCGAAGAGAGUGCCUUGACCAGUUUCAUGGCCGGCAAUAGUGCAUUUGUGACUGGUUUUAAUACAUUUCGAAUUGCAGACCGAGCUAUAAAGGCCAGUGCAUUCUUUCAGAAUAUUCCUUUAAUUAGAGACACUUACGCCAUUAUUAUUGAUUUUUUUUAUUUAGGAAUUUAGUUCAUCAGGGUUCUAUAUGACAAAUUUUUACUGUUGUAUGAUACAGGUUAAGAAUCAAUGGAAGAUGUCACUUUUGUGGCCUUUUUCCAUUUAACUGCAGACGUGUUCAGUGGCAUUAGUAAGUUAAGCCUCCUACUUCAGAGGAAUGAGAUCAUCCUACCACAGAAAUGGUGUAAACACUGAGCUUGCAAAAGAAGAGUUUUUAGGCUUGAAGCUGUUAAUUGCCAGGAUGUUCAAAGACAAGACCUGCCUCAGCCUUCGGGAGCUCAUGUUGACCAGAGAGGCCUACUGCUCAGAGUACAAGAACAUCCUGCACCUUGUACACAUUAUGUUGGUCCUCCCUGUCUCAGCUGCAGUUUGUGAGAGAGGGUUUUCUGCACAGAAGAGGAUCAAAUCAGACAUUAGAGCAUCCCUUCAUUUAAACACAGUUGAAGAUCUUAUAAGAAUCAGUGUAGAGGGGCCAAGUCUGGAAGAUUUUGAUGCUAGAGAGAGUGUGGCCAGCUGGUUUAGCCAAGGCCAAAGAUCAAGAAGGCCAAACUACAGGAGUUGGCCAUCCGAGGGGCAAUGGAGUAUAGUCCAUAAGACAUUGAGCCAUGAGAUGUUCAGUUUGAAGCCCUUGAAACACUUAAUUAAAAUUUUCUUUUUAUUUAAUUUAUCUUGAGAUGUUUUAAAUUUAAAUUUCAGCUCAGUGAAGCACUUCAAGCACCAACACUUUUUUUUAGUUAUCUUUCUUUUAGAAUUGUGCCUCAAAUAAAGAACUUUAUGUUGACCA
ensembl:lncRNA